AUGUCGGGGGAAAAGACGGUGUCUUUUUGCACCACGGAUAGUGUGCAGGGCAGCCACGUGUUCAGUGUUUCCGGGUACAGCAAGCAAAGGGGCAUGGGCUGCGGCAAGUUCAUCAGAUCCGGCGCCUUCUUGGUCGGAGGCCACGAAUGGGCCAUCCGCUUCUAUCCCGAUGGGUUUAACGAUGAUUACCGAAAUUUCAUCUCAGUUUACGCCGAGCUCUUGAGUAAGGACGCCGAGGUGCAUGCAUCCUGCGACAUGAGGCUGGUCAAUCAGACCACCCGGUUAUCCUCUUCCCUGGACAAGACGGAACCAAGGCUAUUCAACCAGACCAAUCUCAGCAGGUUUGCCCCACAAACGGCUGCCUUCAUGGCAAGGAGCGCGUUCGAAUCGUCGGCAUACCUACGGGAUGACAAACUCGAGGUCGAAUGCAUCAUCACUGUCAUGAAAAAAGCACGGGUGUCUGAAACCAAGGCGCCCCUGUCCGGCAUCGCUGCGCAGCUUAGCAAGCUGUUGGAAGCAAAUGAUAUUCCAGCGGACAUCACAUUCAGCGUUGGAGGUGUGGUUUUCGGAGCACACAAGCUUGUCCUUGCUAUACGGUCACCUGUGUUUAAGGCAGAGUUCUACGGGCCGAUGAAGCAGACAGAAACGCCGCUCAUAACCAUCAAGGACAUGCAACCUGAUGUCUUCAAGGCCCUGCUCCAUUUCAUCUACACCGAAUCAUUGCAGAUCACAGAUGAUCUCGAGGGAAAUGACCGCAUUGAGAUGGUCCAGCACUUGCUCGUGGCUGCUGAUCGGUAUGAUAUGGAAUGGCUAAAACUGGUAUGUGAGAAAAUCCUUUGCGAUAAUCUUGAGUGGAGAAUGUUGCAACUAUGCUGGCUUUAG
rnacentral:rRNA from 1 species